CGUGUAGGCGGCUUGGUAAGUCCGUUGUGAAAUCUCACAGCUUAACUGUGAAACUGCGACGGAAACUGCUUUGCUAGAGUGCGGGAGAGGAGAGUGGAAUUCCCAGUGUAGAGGUGAAAUUCGUAGAUACUGGGAGGAACACCGGUGGCGAAGGCGGCUCUCUGGACCGCUACCGACGCUGAGACGCGAAAGCUAGGGGAGCAAACG
rnacentral:rRNA from 1 species